AUUUUUCCGAUUUUGGAAAUUUGAUGGUGUUUGUGUACCGUUGCAGGUGAUUGCCAAAGAAUCUCUCUUCUGACUGCACAGGUUUCAAUUACAUUCACACGAUAUUUUAACGGACUGGGCCAGAAGAACAUCUUUUUGGCAACGAUGAAGAAAGAAGAGUGAAGUCCUGAGGAACAAUCUGAAAGUUGGGACGUGAAAAACAAAAAUAUUUUGGUGUGUAUUAUAUCUAUAUGAACAGCUUAGUCUCCAACUUUUUUAGCUAUGUAAUGUGUUCUGUAAACACCUAUCUUUUAUUCCUUAAUGAACAUAAGGAUGUAAAUAGAGUUUGAUAUGGAUGUAAAUGGAUUUUAA